rnacentral:rRNA from 1 species
CCUACGGGAGGCAGCAGUGGGGAAUAUUGCGCAAUGGGCGGAAGCCUGACGCAGCGACGCCGCGUGGGGGAUGAAGGCCUUCGGGUUGUAAACCUCUUUCAGCAGGGACGAAGGGUAACUGACGGUACCUGCAGAAGAAGCGCCGGCUAACUACGUGCCAGCAGCCGCGGUAAU